AAUAGAUACCCGGGUAGUCCACGCCGUAAACGAUGAGUGCUAAGUGUUAGAGGGUUUCCGCCCUUUAGUGCUGCAGCUAACGCAUUAAGCACUCCGCCUGGGGAGUACGGUCGCAAGACUGAAACUCAAAGGAAUUGACGGGGGCCCGCACAAACGGUGGAGCAUGUGGUUUAAUUCGAAGCAACGCGAAGAACCUUACCAGGUCUUGACAUCCCACUGACCGGUAUAGAGAUAUACCUUUCCCUUCGGGGACAGUGGUGACAGGUGGUGCAUGGUUGUCGUCAGCUCGUGUCGUGAGAUGUUGGGUUAAGUCCCGCAACGAGCGCAACCCUUGAUCUUAGUUGCCAGCAUUUAGUUGGGCACUCUAAGGUGACUGCCGGUGACAAACCGGAGGAAGGUGGGGAUGACGUCAAAUCAUCAUGCCCCUUAUGACCUGGGCUACACACGUGCUACAAUGGAUGGUACAAAGGGCUGCAAGACUGCGAAGUCAAGCCAAUCCCAUAAAACCAUUCUCAGUUCGGAUUGCAGG
rnacentral:rRNA from 1 species